UUUAGUUUACAAAAAUUCAUAGUUCCAACAGUCUUAAACACAUCUUCCAUCUAUACACAUUUCCGAAAUGGAAUAAAAACAAAGCUGCAGUUUAAUAAACAACAAACAAGAACGCAAUGGAGAGAAUUGGUGCAUUCAAAAUACAACUGAAAAACAGUGGAACAAGUUUUCGAAGCUAAUUUUUUUAACCACACAAUCGAGAGAAAAAAAUAAUAAAAAUAUACACAAAUUAGAUAUAAGCUUAAAGUGUAACCAAAAUAAAAAAAUCAAAAACCAAAA